rnacentral:rRNA from 1 species
GAGUGCGUGAAACCACUGGGAGUCGAAACGGAUAGAGUCGACGUAACGAGGCAACAUUCAACCGAUCCUUCGGGCUCGGUGCACUUGUUGUCUGUAUGCGCUGAGUGCGUUGAUUGUGCGCGUCGAACCGGUACGUGUUGCCCACUUAUGUGGUGUCUUGCGUGCUGGGGAGACGUGUCGCGACUAGCGUGAUUCGGUGUGCAAGUCGAUCACCUAUCCGACCCGUCUUGAAACACGG